rnacentral:lncRNA from 1 species
AUUAAUGGAUAAAUUGAAAGUGGCUUAUCCUAAACGUUAAUCUAUAUCAACACUCAUAAGUCAUAAUGAUAUGAUUUAUUCCAAAUUUUCACCAUCAUCAAGUUUGGUUAAUAUAUAUCAAAUUAUGUGUCUCAUUUGCAAUAUCUCUUUUGUUUUGAUGAAUCAUUUGCAAUAUUUGUGUGUCAAAUUAUUUUUCAAUUUGUAAUACCAUGAAUAAAUUUAUUACCUUUUUGUAAUGUUAAUUUUGUAUAUUAAAUUACUUGCAAGUAUAUUAAUAUUACUUACAAUCUUUAUAAAGUACUUGCAAUUGUAAUGUUAAUAUAAUUUUUAUUAUCAUUUGUUUAAUUUAUUGUAAUUUAUUGUAAUUUAUUUUCUUUGCAAUUUAUGAUUCCUGCGCUUUAUAAGUCUUGCACUGUCCAUUUUUUGUAUCUGCCGACCAAACUCUUGCAAUCAUGGUUGAGUUUGUUUCUUUUGAAAACUCUUAAAAUCUUUCACUGAUUUUCAAUAUUAAAUUACUACUUUUCUCACAAAAAAAUGUACAUUGUACUACAAAAGAUCUUGGAUUUCUGUCGAGUUCACGCCAUCUUACAUUCACAAUCCACUUCAUAGCAUAAAAAAACCUUUUUAUUGCACAUUGUUUCCAAAUUUUUUCUUGCAUUUGAAUCUUUUUAUUAUAUUCUUACUUCGAAAACUUUUUUGUCUACAUAAACUUAUUUUUCUUAAAAUUACUUUUAUUUAAAACAUUAUCAUUUUUAAUACGCACUUCAUUCCAUUUGCAUUUUCAACAUAGUAAUUGAUAGUAUUUACUUUUGACUAUCCUUGUAUUUAAUGACUUUAGUAACAUUAUUUAGUUCCUCACUACUCAAUUCUUCGAAAGUGUGAAAUGUAUAGCUAAUCAUAUCAGCUGAGAACACAUACCUUUGAGGUGGAUUGAUAUGCCUUUUGUCUAUAUCCCUUGCUAGCAAAUACUCAUUUGUAUUAUCAUGAUUCCAUCAUCUAAUCAGCUACUACAUAGUUUGUAAGUUGAUUUUGCUCAAGGAUUUGGUUUAGAACAGACCUUGGCUCAUUUCCACCUUCAAGCUCCUCCUCAAGCUCAAAACAAUCUAAUACAUUCUAGAACUGAAUCUGAUCCUCACUGUAUUUAGAGACUUGUAGAGUUCCUCUCCAUGAGAUUUGACACCACUACUUAUAAGACAUCUUUAUUUCAACAACCCUAUUUAGCACCCCUUCACUCUUUUUAGAAUAUCCAACAAAACAUCCCUUUUUUACUCUAGGUCCCAUUUUCUAUUAUUUCCAUAAAAAUAUGUAGUAAACUCAAAAACCUUAUAGUGAUUGUAGGCUGUGUGGGCUAAUUCAGCCCAAAUUUUAUAGGCAUACUUGAGUUUGACAACACACUCCUUCCUUUUUGUUUUUCAUCAUAGUCAUCAAUAAAGUUUGGAAGGCAUGUUUAAAGCAUGUGUCUCAAUCUGCAACAUGACUCAUUUGGUGUUGCAUUGUUAAUCAUAGCAUUUGGACACAUGGUUCUACCUUUUUAGUUUGGUAUUUUAAAAGCUCUUUAUAGCUUAAAUUAAUAUUUUUAACUUGUUUCUAAACUUUUGGUUGAAUUUGAAUUAUAAUUUUAUUAUUUGCAAUUUAAUUUUAUUAUUUGUAUUUUGACUCUUUCUCACUCUAUAGAUCAUAACUUGAGCUCUGUAUAUCGGAUUGGCGCAUAUGAGCAGGCGUUGGAAAGCUAAAAGCCCGAGCUACAACAUUUGUGUUACAAGAAAAGACCAAUUCCGAAUUUUACUUGGCCUAAAUUGCAGAUUUUUUAAUCUGGACUUUUGUAAUAAUUUUAAUUAGCGGGUCACUUGUUUUUAAAUCCUAAAGCCCAAUAUCAAGUACUAUAUAUUGACAGUUUUGUUUCUUUUCUGAAGACGGAAAAAUUAGGAUUCAAAUUGCUAUAAGAAAUAAACAGUUUUUAUUUUAAUUUCAUGGAAGGCUAAUUUUAUAAGAUUAAUCCACGAGGUCAGAGUUUCAUCAACACCUUGAGAUUCAGGUUACAUUGUCAAUUUUGAUUCUUGAUUCUAUUCUUGUUUAUUUGAUUAUAUUGAUAUUUUGAUUGCUUAAAUUGAAUUUCAAUAGGAUUGAUUAAUUUAUUUGACAUAGUUUGGUUUUCGCUUCUAAUUUAACUGAAUUAUAAUUUUGCGACGCUUGAUCAUUAAUUGUAAUAUUUUGAUGAUUGUGAUGCUUAAUCAAAUCAAAGAAACCAAAUUCACAUAGGUUUGAUUACACUUGUUUGAUCAAUUCUAUAGUCAAAUAAGAAUAGUGUUGGAUUUUGAUCCUUUGAUUCCUAAUUUUGACAUAAUUAAUAAUUCAACAAUGUUCAUACAAUACAUGAUAAAUCUAAUAUUUGAAUUGAGCAAGAUUUCAGGAACAACAAUCAAAUCCUACACACUUGGAACAGG